rnacentral:lncRNA from 1 species
UGGUCCCAAGAAAGUUUGAUUUCUAAACAAAGGGGAAAAAAGUUAAAAGAAAGUAAGAUUUAUUUUACAAAUUUUACGGUGCUUCUCUUUUAGAACUGUAUGUAUAAAUAAUAAUAAUAAUAAUAAUAAUAUGAGUUUCAUAGAAAAUUUAGUUUAUUUGAUCAUGUUCAUUGAUAUGCUUUAACAAUGCUUUAUUAAUUCU